rnacentral:rRNA from 1 species
UACGUAGGGGGCAAGCGUUGUCCGGAUUUACUGGGCGUAAAGAGCGUGUAGGCGGUUGAGCAAGUCGGCUGUGAAAUCUCCAGGCUCAACUUGGAGGGGUCAGUGGAAACUGCUUAACUUGAGGACGGUAGAGGGGGGUGGAAUUCCCGGUGUAGUGGUGAAAUGCGUAGAGAUCGGGAGGAACACCAGCGGCGAAGGCGGCCCCCUGGGCCGCUCCUGACGCUGAGACGCGAAGGCCAGGGUAGCGAACGGG